AAGUCGAACGAACUCUGGUAUUGAUUGGUGCUUGCAUCAUGAUUUACAUUUGAGUGAGUGGCGAACUGGUGAGUAACACGUGGGAAACCUGCCCAGAAGCGGGGGAUAACACCUGGAAACAGAUGCUAAUACCGCAUAACAACUUGGACCGCAUGGUCCGAGUUUGAAAGAUGGCUUCGGCUAUCACUUUUGGAUGGUCCCGCGGCGUAUUAGCUAGAUGGUGGGGUAACGGCUCACCAUGGCAAUGAUACGUAGCCGACCUGAGAGGGUAAUCGGCCACAUUGGGACUGAGACACGGCCCAAACUCCUACGGGAGGCAGCAGUAGGGAAUCUUCCACAAUGGACGAAAGUCUGAUGGAGCAACGCCGCGUGAGUGAAGAAGGGUUUCGGCUCGUAAAACUCUGUUGUUAAAGAAGAACAUAUCUGAGAGUAACUGUUCAGGUAUUGACGGUAUUUAACCAGAAAGCCACGGCUAACUACGUGCCAGCAGCCGCGGUAAUACGUAGGUGGCAAGCGUUGUCCGGAUUUAUUGGGCGUAAAGCGAGCGCAGGCGGUUUUUUAAGUCUGAUGUGAAAGCCUUCGGCUCAACCGAAGAAGUGCAUCGGAAACUGGGAAACUUGAGUGCAGAAGAGGACAGUGGAACUCCAUGUGUAGCGGUGAAAUGCGUAGAUAUAUGGAAGAACACCAGUGGCGAAGGCGGCUGUCUGGUCUGUAACUGACGCUGAGGCUCGAAAGUAUGGGUAGCAAACAGGAUUAGAUACCCUGGUAGUCCAUACCGUAAACGAUGAAUGCUAAGUGUUGGAGGGUUUCCGCCCUUCAGUGCUGCAGCUAACGCAUUAAGCAUUCCGCCUGGGGAGUACGGCCGCAAGGCUGAAACUCAAAGGAAUUGACGGGGGCCCGCACAAGCGGUGGAGCAUGUGGUUUAAUUCGAAGCUACGCGAAGAACCUUACCAGGUCUUGACAUACUAUGCAAAUCUAAGAGAUUAGACGUUCCCUUCGGGGACAUGGAUACAGGUGGUGCAUGGUUGUCGUCAGCUCGUGUCGUGAGAUGUUGGGUUAAGUCCCGCAACGAGCGCAACCCUUAUUAUCAGUUGCCAGCAUUAAGUUGGGCACUCUGGUGAGACUGCCGGUGACAAACCGGAGGAAGGUGGGGAUGACGUCAAAUCAUCAUGCCCCUUAUGACCUGGGCUACACACGUGCUACAAUGGAUGGUACAACGAGUUGCGAACUCGCGAGAGUAAGCUAAUCUCUUAAAGCCAUUCUCAGUUCGGAUUGUAGGCUGCAACUCGCCUACAUGAAGUCGGAAUCGCUAGUAAUCGCGGAUCAGCAUGCCGCGGUGAAUACGUUCCCGGGCCUUGUACACACCGCCCGUCACACCAUGAGAGUUUGUAACACCCAAAGUCGGUGGGGUAACCUUUUAGGAACCAGCCGCCU
rnacentral:rRNA from 1 species